GGAUGUAAGGGUGAUCUUGCAACAACAUCUGUCACCCCACUGAUCACCAGGACUCAUCUGGCUGACCCAGAUGGCUAAGCUGGUGUCCCCUUCCUCCCUCACUUUAGUACAUCCCUCACAAAGCUGCACUCUCACUCCAAGAGUACAACCUUCCUGGGUACAGAAAGGGAUAUGAGUAGCUAACAUUCAGGGUGGCUUAAUAGCCUCCUGUCUCCCAUUUUAUUUUAUUUUAUUUUAUAUAUUAUUUAUUUAU
ensembl:misc_RNA 7SK 7SK RNA